rnacentral:tRNA from 1 species
CACUAAGAAGCUAAACUGGGUCUAGCGUUAGCCUUUUAAGCUAAAAACUGGUGACUCCCUACCACCCUUAGUGA